AAACACAAAGAGAACACCCCCUCAGCUUUUGGAAUGGUCCAAGUCUCAAAGGCAGGAGUCCUGUUAUUCAUUUAUAAAUCAAUCUUAACAAUUUGAUAAUUUGGGAAAAGUAAUUGGUUGCGCACCAUUUCCAGAGCUCUGAAAAUACUCAUGAGUAAGGUAAAUACUUAUGAAUAAAUCCUCCCAUCCGACAAUACCUUAAACAAAAACAAUUCAUAUUAAACAAAUAUCACAAAGAAGCUAAACAAUUUCAAGCUUAAACUAAAAAGAGAAAGCUCAUCGACCGCAAAUCACAAAUCAUAAGUCUGAAAUCACAAAUCUCACAAAUCACAAAUCUAAAAUCACAAAGUACAUGAUUGAAACUGGCAGAAUCAAAUCUGAAAUAAGUCUCAAAAAAAGACUGACCUUUUGGAACUUAGGGUUUCAACUUUGCACAAUGAAGCUGUCACGGGAGUGGCGGACUAGCUGUAUUGAUUGACUUUUGAGAUAGUUUAGGCAGGGUUUUGCAAAUGAACGGGAGGAAGCAGCUUUGGUAUCUGAUUAUCUGAUAUGUUAAAAAGGGGAGGACCAAUUUUAAGUUGGAGGGUCAGAUGACCACCAGGACACCCCCCCCGCACCCCCGCCAAUGAGCGUAUGUUCCGCGUGGUGGCAUGCUGCAUUGGCACGUGUGUAUGCAGAUAUCGUCAAAAUGCAAGUGCAAUGUGCCAACCUAGCAUGGCCUUUCAAAAUACAAGCUAGUUUGGCCCAUCCUUGUCUACUUAAUUGGAAAUUUCAUAAACUGGAUUCAGUUAAACCAAACUAACUAAACUUCAGAAGCAAAAAAUGCAUGUAAGUUAAUAUUUGAGGAUUUAGCAUUUACUGCUGUUGGGGAACACAAGAAUGGAUGAAACCAUGAAAUAAGUUCAUUAGAAGUCGUUGAAAAUACUAUUAAGAAAAUUAUGUAUUGUGCAAACAGAGUGCAAAUAUAGUGCAAACUAAUCUGAAUCAACCUUUCAGCAAUUUGAUCUUGUGCAUUAUUUAACUGCCUUUGUGCACCUAAUCAUAUUUAUGCAGAUUUGCUCAGUGAAGGGUGGGUGUGAAUCAACACAAAAAUCAAAUUAAAAGGAAAAUACCACAAACAGAAAGAAAUAUAUGUACAACAAAAAUUUAAAGACCUAGACCAUAUUUCAAAAAUGUCAGACAUGAAUGCUGGGAUAAGGAGUACUGAUGGAUUCUUUCUGGGUAAAAAGAUAAGUUGAGGAAGGAGCAAUAUUGAACCCUAUAUACAUUUAGAAAAACGGAGACAAAAACAUUGUCAACAUAGAGAAGCGUGGUAAAUGGAGGAAAUAUAGUGACUUACAGCAAAUAUAAUGUUGAACAAGAGGUUCAGGAAGUGAUAAUGCCUUCAUAAAUACUGACACCAUCCAUAAAGAGCAUACAGAUAUAUAGAUAAACAAUGACCUUUUACUUAAUCUUUAUCUUCAAAUUCGUUAUACUAUUUUAAUAUCAUUUACUCCAAUUAUGAUCUGAUUCAGAUAUAUACAAUCUCAAACAGAUGAUAAAAAUGAUCGAAUGUCCCACAGAUUACUGUCACCAUAGAAUUACAUGAUUUAUGACCAAGAUGAGAAGACCAUGGUAAACCUUGAUGAGUUUUAUGUCAAUGGCAUUCUCAUUUGCAGAGGCGUGUAUCAUUGUUAGUUACACCUUAUUAUAAAUAAAUCAAGCAAAUAAAGGAUUUUGACCUCAUCUUCACCUUCCCAAAAGAUAUUGAUUCUAGGUAGCUCUAACUUUUGUUGCAUGUAUUCACAAGGAACAGUAAAUUUCAUAAAUUGGAAUGGAUUCACCUAUUUUUAUUUAUUAUUCAGUCAAAACAAACAAAUUUAACUCCAAAAGCAAAAAAUGCAUCAGAAUUAUUGUUGGGAGGAUUCAACAUUAGUUGCUGCAUCUUGGGGAUGAGAACACAGAUGCUAGUCCUGAUCUCUUGCAGAAUGAAUGAAACAGAGUUCAUUGGGAAUGGUCGAAACUACUAUAAGAAAAAAUUUCUCAACUUAUUUUCCUUCUUUUUAGACCUUUUUUUGCUGGGGGUUCAGAAACAACAAUAUAAACUGUGCAUAGCAUGAAAAAUUACUACAGUUGAGCAUCCCGUGUUAAAAAUUGAAGUGAGAUUCAAAUUUAAUCUAGUCUAAGAGUAUAGCACAUUUUCCUUGUUUGUUUGCCGGGGGAGCGGAUAGUUUUACAUAAAAUUGUUCCUCUUGGUUUUGUGAUAUUAAAGCAUUUAACUGAUAAUGAAUUCGGUAAACAAAUUAACUGAUAUUAAAUUAAAUCACCAACCCCUUCAAUCUCUCUAAAAGGUCAUUCAUUAAGCAUAAAUUUAGUGGGAAAUCCAAAUUUGCUAAUCUUACAUUUAAAAAAAAAAAAAAAAAGUAUAUAAAAAAAAGCCUCCACACACAAAAAUAUUUCGUCUACCGUUCUUUCUAAUUACAAUACCAAGAAAAAUAGGAAUGAUAAAAUGCCAACUAAACUCAAAAAUCACAAGAAAUUACUCAAAUUCCUAACAGACCCAACAUCUCCAAAUAGACAGAUAUAAUUGCACCUUGAAGGUUCUCAUAUAUCAUAAAAGAAUCACAUAACUUAUAGCCCUACACACAGGAGAAGGGUGUGUGGGGGUGUGUGUGAGCACACUACUCUCUCCACAAGCAAGAAAAACAAUACUCCCAUGUUUUGAUUAAAAUCCAGUAGAUCUAAUCACGUUAUCAAGAAUUCCAAGUUUCCAAUAACAAAAAGUUAAAAAUCAAUCAAAAUUGAUCCUGCACCGCAUGAUCAGUAUCAUAUCCAUCGGCUAGCAACUCUAAAUCAGUCACAAAGAAAGUUCAAUCAAAUUAACAGUGUGAAAUGGAGAAAGGAAGAAUUGGUCACCUCGAAAAGCUCGCCAACUUCUGCACUAAAACUGCAAGAAUAGGAGUCAAUUCAAAGAAAGAUCAAUCAAAUUAACGGUGUGAAAUAGAGAAAGGAAGAGUUGGGUCACCUUGAAAUGCUCGCCAAAUUGUGCACUAAAACUCUAAGAGAAAGGAG
rnacentral:lncRNA from 1 species